UACGAAGGGGGCUAGCGUUGUUCGGAAUUACUGGGCGUAAAGCGCACGUAGGCGGAUCUUUAAGUCAGGGGUGAAAUCCCAAGGCUCAACCUUGGAACUGCCUUUGAUACUGGGGAUCUCGAGUCCGGAAGAGGUUGGUGGAACUGCGAGUGUAGAGGUGAAAUUCGUAGAUAUUCGCAAGAACACCAGUGGCGAAGGCGGCCAACUGGUCCGGUACUGACGCUGAGGUGCGAAAGCGUGGGGAGCAAACAGG
rnacentral:rRNA from 1 species